rnacentral:rRNA from 1 species
UACGUAGGUGGCAAGCGUUUGUCCGGAAUUAUUGGGCGUAAAGCGCGCGCAGGCGGUCCUUUAAGUCUGAUGUGAAAGCCCACGGCUCAACCGUGGAAGGUCAUUGGAAACUGGAGGACUUGAGUACAGAAGAGGAAAGCGGAAUUCCACGUGUAGCGGUGAAAUGCGUAGAGAUGUGGAGGAACACCAGUGGCGAAAGGCGGCUUUCUGGUCUGUAACUGACGCUGAGGCGCGAAAGCGUGGGGAGCAAACAGG